GCCAGCCGCAGUCGCCUGGGCGGGGGGAGAGGGGGAGUCCCCCUUCUCCAGGGGCUUCUGGCGGUAGAGGGGGCCUGGCUCGCAGCGGAGCGUGGAGACGGAGCCCUUCUCCCAGGGGAAACGGGGGGGUACCUCUGGCCGAGGGCACCGAGGUGGUGAGGGGACCGCGGCAGAGGCUCCUGCCCAGGGAGCUGUGACGAAGGGCAAAGCCCCUUCCCUUGGGUGAUGAGGAGAGGCUGCCCAGGGACAAGGUGGUUGUGGGGAAAGCUCCUUCAGGCAGGUAGAGAGGGAAGAGCCCCCUCGUUCCAGGCCAGCCUGAGCGGGACUGACCCGCUGUGGGGUGGAAGGUGUGAGGGCCGGAGGCCGGCUCACCCGGCCUGCGCUGCGGGGCCGAGCCCCGGUGGGGCAGAGGAGGAGGCUGAUGGUGGGGCAGCCUGCACUCUGCUCCAUCCUCCCGCACUCUGCUCCAUCCUCCCGCACUCUCUGCUCCAUCCUCCCGCACUCUGCUCCAUCCUCCCGCACUCUCUGCUCCAUCCUCCCGCACUCUGCUCCAUCCUCCCGCGCAAGGGCAAAGGUUGCGGUGGCAAAGAGCAGAGCAAACCGGCGGUGCAGAGGAGCUCCCCUUACACAAGAAACGACCGCCUGCGUGAAUUAGCAUGAAAAAGUAAUGCGUGAAGACACAGGUCUGGAAAGGAAACUGCAGUACAAGGCUGGUAGCUUGCGGGUUGACCUGCAGGUGCUGCUUUACCUGUCUGGGAGGUGUGAAGUGCCUGGAGGCUGCAGAGGGACAGCGAGCAGCACACCUGACAGCUCCCAUCCCUUACACUGUUACUGAGGAUUUCUUUAAGGAAGCUGCCAAAUGUUAUUUUUCCUCUUCAGGAUGUAUUAACAAUAGUUUUAACUGUGUAUGUGAGAUAAGUUUGUGAAGCUGAAGUUUUGUGUCUCCUCAUAAAUGAUAAGGACCCUCUAGGUAUAGGGGUCUUUCCUUUGUAACAAAAUACAGUUAAGGUCUUUUCCAAUCCACAUGAAAACAAAAGCCCUCAAAAUAUAGUACGAAAAUUAGAGAUGCUAAACAAAGAUGACAGUAUUCCUGAAUAUUUAAUCUCCCACAGUACCAUACAUAAAUUAUCUGGGUUCCUGAACCAGGAGUUCAUUUUCCCAGCCUGCUGUGUUAGCUGCUGCACCUCUGCUUUUCAGCCUCAGAAGCGCCUCCAAACAAAUAUGCAUUACCCAUAGAACUGAUCUUGGAUUUUUGGGCCACUUAAGGAGAAAAAAAGGGAUAAGUAUGUCAAAUGUUGUUUUGUUCUGGGGAAAUGAUACUACAGAGUCUACAUCUAAAUGGAUUGUCCAUAUGGUUUUUGAACUCCCUGUAUUCAGCCAUACUAUUUAUGAACCUGUGGAAAAACAUUGUGAAAUUUAUUGUGUGUUGAUCUUGUCCAUGGGGCAGGUGGUUAUUUUCAUCCUCUGCAACACUGCUAACACAGGUGAUCAGCUGUGCCUGAGCUGUGAAUCAGGGAACAGAUCUCCAGUGGCCAUGGGACUUUGUCAGCUUUCCUGCCACCCCCCUGUGCCUCUGCCCUUGUCAGUAACUUCAACAUGGAAUGUAACUUUCAUACUAUUUCCAGACUAAUUUACCUAGUGUUCUCUACUGUAUUAGUUAAAUCUGCAGCUUCACAAUAUUUGCUUUUUAAUUUUAACCUUGCCCAGAACCUUUUCUGCUUCUGACCAUUGCAGCUGACUAAUCAACGAUCUUGUCAUAAAUGUUGUGUUUCAGCUUGUGCCGAAUUCAUGUUUAGUUUCAUGUCCUGGUACAUGUCUGCUUGAGUUAUACAAUGUUUGUCUGUAUACUUUGCAAGUUUAAUUUGCAGGUCCUUCUGUUUUGGAAAACCAGAUAAGGAAUUAAAAAUGCAAAGAACCACAAAGAUAGGGAGAAGACCCAAAACCUUCAGAGAAGAAGAGGCAAGCUUGUGAUCUUGGCCCACUUUUAAGGAAGGUCACAGAAACUAGUGUGGGAAAAAAAGGUGGGGUGAUUUGGAUUUUUUCUGACUGUCUGCUGACACUAAGUCGACAGGCAGGUUCUUUCCAUGGCAAAUCCCUCAAAGAAUCUCUAUUUCUUCUCCUUUACUGCUGGGUGACACUGACACUGUUGUUGAACACAUAACUGGGGAAUGUGCUCUGCUGCAUCCUCACUGCUUAGUGUGUCUUCAUCAUGUGUGAGAUCUUGAGCAAUCUUUAGGAGAUACAGGAAUGUAGCUCUGGAACCUGACUUUUGCACAAAUGCAAGGAGAAUAAAGCCAUUACAGAAGGACUGAACAUUGUUCAAACCAUAUAAAUAAAUUUAGCCAGUAUGAGUAUGUUAUACUUGUUGGAUUUUUUUUUUUUUACACAGCAACAUCAUGUUUUUAGUCAUGGAUCAGAAAACACAAGUAAUAACUCUCAUCAUCUCAUCUUCCUAUCUAGAAAUACUGAUGGUUAUUUUCAAUUUUUGCAUAAGGAAACCAUAUUACAGAGAAAUUGAAGGUAACUUAUUCAUGCCUUAAAGCAGCACAGAUUGCUGUGAUGGACCAUUCUUUACUGAUUGAGUUCAGAACUCAGGUUUGACAAGAGUCAAUGUCAGAAAAAAUACAGUGUGCACUUAGAGAUAAGGGAUUAUAAAAAUUAGGUUUCUUCCUAAAAGUUAUCUGACAGCGAAUGAUGCACAUCUAGGAUGCAUAUGACCUCUCUAAACUCUUUGAGAAUAUGCUGUGUUAAGAUGUUUUAUAAAUUAAUUAUACUUUGUAAAAAUUACAUUUUUUUUAUAAUGCAAGAAUUUUUCAUUUAAGUUUUAUUAAUAUCUCUGUUAUAGGGAAGUAAAUAUUGUAAUAUGUCUUAAUACUGGUAAUUAUUCUUACUCUUUCCCUAUAUACAAGUAUUUUCAUAUUCUAUUCCUUUUCCCUGUAGAAGAUUUUUGUUUCUGUUUUUUGCAAAUUCUUAACCUUUUUUAUCUUUUUAAUUGGGGAGCAGGAUUAGGACACACAGAAUUGCAUGAAGCAUUUCAGAAGAGGGAUUUCCAUCAGCUUUUAGUCUACUGUUAAGUUGAGCAUUAUUCUCUACAUCGUGGUUUAUGUUCAAGGCAUCUGUAUUACCUUCAGAGGACUUCCAUCUGGAGACCUGAAUGAUCAAAGGGUGCAGGUUAUCUCUGAGUUCUGUAAUUGUUUUCUAUCUGAGGCAACUGAAUAUUAGCCUGGAUUGACAGUUCUAAUAUAUGUUAUUCCACAUUUGCUAGUUAUUUUGUGGAUAUUAGUAUUUCUGGUAUUUCAUUGUGUCAUCGUCACUGAAAUCAUAGUGAAAACAAGAAAAGGCAUUUACUCAUAGUACUGGACAGGAUAUAAAUAAAUGUCUUUAAACCAAAAAUCCUGAUUAUCGGCAUGAACAGGCUUCCCAGCUGAAUGUGGAGUUUUUUAUGUUUAUUUACAUGUCACCAUCGGUACUUUGCAGAGUGGUGUUGAGUCACAUUUUAUGCUAAGAAUGGUUGGAAUUUUCAAAGCUGUGACCUGGCUUCAGGGAGGAAAUCUGCAAACCUCUGUUGAAUGCUCAAGCCCCACCCAAAGUUUGUGUAGUAAUUAGCGUUCCUAAAACACUUAGUGUUGAGCUUGUUAUUUAAGAGAUCUGCAAGUGAAGAGGCCAAUAGAACAGCUGUGUAAAUUCUCCAGUAUUUUCUGAUUGAUUUUAAUAUGAGAGUGCUGAGCUGGAUUGUUUUGAAGAUAGCUUUCCAUUAUUCUUUCAAAAGAGGAUAGUUAUUCUUUUAAAAAUAUUUAAUCAUUUAUGGUAUGACAACAUUCUAGUAUCAGGAACAUAACUGCUUUUUUCAGUGGCCUUAAUUGUUAAAUAAAAAAACAAACUAUAUAAGAACAUAAUUUAUUUGUCUUUAAAUAAAGUCUUUUUUGGUAACUAAUUCACUGACUUUAUCAUGAGGAAAUUUAAAAAAGGAGAGAUCAGCUAAUUACUUUAAUAAUAUUAUUUAAUCUCGGUCAUUAAAAUAACACCAUACGUCAGUGAUACUUCUGAUUAUCCAGGUAAAGGUAAUUUCUACAAUUGAAUUAACUUUUCCUAAAUGAUUUCUGAAUUUUAAGGUGUAUACAAACAACAGAGUUUAUUUUGUAAUAUAUGCAACUAAUCUGUAAACAUCAUAGAAUUCCAGUGUUUGGGAAGAGACAUUGCAGCCUUCUUUCUGAAAGGGGUCUGCCCACUGUAUCCUCCUAUCAACACGAGGAGGCUUCAAACGUCAGUGGAACGCUGUGUGGGGACUGGGCCCAGCCUUGCAGAUGUUCACACAGCAGAAAGAGCUGUUUGCAGCUGUUUAUAAAAUGCUGCAGGGUGGAUUUGUAAACAAAUUUAAAAUGGGUUUUGUUCAAUAAAGAAAUUUGCCAGAAAUUACCGAUUGCAUUGGUACUUUUCAGCCAGAGCAGUUGGAAGUCCAGGGGACAUUAGAGAAAGGUUUCUUAGUAAAUCUAAGGUCCUUUGUAAGACUAUUAACUGUUUCAGUUUUAACUGUAUGAGUUGAAAUAUUUGUUGAAAUUCUAUACAGAAAUUAACUCUAGUCACUGCAGAAAGCUAUUAUAAGUGAUCAUUAGACUUUGCUGCCAGUAGGUCGCUGUUCAAGCAAUUUCCAAUGUUUUUCAGUUAUCCAGUGGAAAAAAAAUCCUCACUAGAAAAAUUCAUCGAAGAAGAGCUGCUAAUAUAUUUUUGGUACUUAAGGCUUUGAUCAUAUUUUUGUUACAUAAUUUGCCAUAUAAGGAGACCUGAGAAAUACUAAUGAAGGCUUUGGACAGCCAGAAGAUAUAAUUUCAGAAAAAGAAAGAAACAAGAGUGUGUUGGGUGUUCCAGUUGCCAUUUUUGAGUGGUUUACCAUUUCCUAGCCAUAUUUCAUACAUUUUUUUUCUUUGACAAAUAAUCAAAGCUUUGAAAAGUUACUUACCUCGAGCCUCCCAACGUUUUUUCUUUCAGUGAAGUUCAAAGCACCCUAUUAAUUACUAGCACUUGUGAGAGGAGGCUUUUGAAUUUGUAAAAACUAAAAUGAGACCUAUUGAGAAUUUUAAUAGGUUUUAUACUGAAAUUUGUAAAACAGAAGUUUCUGCAGGUUUCUUUAGUGUGGUUCUCACUGCUUUUAGCAGGCAGAAGUCACAUGCAAAAGACCAAAUUAACCUCAGAAUGCAUUUAGGUGGCCUACAUAGCUUUUCUGGUUUUGGUAGUGAAGCUAUAUAGAUUUAAUUCUCAAUAAAAUAGGUUUUUAAAGUCAUCUCCCUGUUUUACAACGGAACCAGCUUGAUCUCCACAUGAGGCCACUAACAGGACUGGCACACUCAGAUCUGCAGCACCAGCCUGCCCUCCAGGUGGGACACCUUACACAAUGGCUUUCAGCUGCCACAGAAGAGAUGGACAACUCGUCUAUACUGGGAAAUUUUCCUUCUCUUCCUCUUUCCUCCACAACACCUGCUUAGGGAUAGAAGUCACAGGGGAAAAUGGCUGAAUAGUCAUUGUUACCUUUUUUAAAGUUUUUAAUGAAGAUGUCUGAUAACUUGGUAACAGAAAGCAGCAACCCUUGGAUAAACGAGGUGCUGGAGGACAUGGAGGGGAGUUUGUGCAGUUAUUUCCUGCCGAUGUCACGGGGAUGCAGGCAUGCUGCUUUGCUCACAGUGGUGCUGCUGGAUGUGGAGCAGCUCCAGCACAGCCACCUCCAGCAUGCUUGUUUCUGGAGGAUUGAUCAUGCUGCCCUUUUCCAGAAUGGUGGGAAUCUUUUGAAACCAGCUUAGAUUUCUCAAGUGAUUCCCCAAGGUAGUUGGCAUGCAGAGCCUGGAUGCAGAAUUGCCAUGUUUAGAUUGCAUUGUACCUGAGAUAAGAAGUUCUUCUGGGCUCAAGCUGUGUCUGCCUUUAAUCUAUAUUAGAGAUAAACUGAUUUAUAAUUACUUGAAGUUGGUUAUGGAUACACAUCAAUGUAUCCCUUAUCCCAGAUUUCCUUGUCACAUUGUCCCCACAGUUAAUUUUCUUGACUUUGCCACAGAGGCCAAGCCUGCCAUUUAAGAAGUGCUGUAUUUGUUAACUUUGGAUUUUUACAUACGUUUUUGAAGUAAUUUUACUAUUUGUAUGGUGAAAUGGUUUGGAAAACUGCUCUACGAGAAUAAUAAUGACUUCCAUUUCAUUUUGUCAUAGACUCUCAAAUUCAGGAUGUGGACUUUAGUAUUAAAUCUAGGGCUCUCAUCCUGCAAAUGUUUGGUAAUGAAUUUGAUGUAUUUGUGUAUAGUAAAUGCUUUUUGUGAUUGGUUCUAUUUUAGGGUAAGUAAUGUAUAAAGGUUAGAGGCUAAAACUUACAUGUUCUGAUACAUAUAUUUUCUAAUAUAUAUAUAUGUAUCCCUGUUCUCUCAAUAUGGUAAACUAGCUGAUUUCAUGUUUUCAUUAUGUCAAAAAUCGAGCACAGAAAAGGGGAUGGAGGAAAAAGUUGUUUUAAAUUAUUACUAUUAGAUGAAUAAGCUCUCUAAUGAUCCCAUUUACCUGCUAAUUCACAGAGCUGUUUACUUAGCAGUGGAUCUCACAAUAACGAGUGAAAACUGGCAAGGUUUUCCUUUUACAUUUUGUUUCAUAAGCACCUUGGAAAAUGUGUUGAAUUUCAAUCUCCACUCAAGCAAGUGGAACAUCAGUUCCCGUGAAUCACCAGAGCAGAGCAGCAGGAAUCCAUUGCAAAGAGAGCCCUUUUGGAUUCAUUGCAGCUCUGCUGAUGUGUUUUCAUUUGCAAUAAGCAGCAGAGUCACUUUGCCAUUACAGACAACUUCAGUGCUGGGAAGCCUGGCAAGUGGCUAUCAGGUUUUCAUGCUUAUAAAAUGCAGAUGAGGUGGUAUGAAGUGUUUGAUUAAUGAAAAAUUCCUCAAAUAACCUAUACAAAUCUGAAAGCAGCAACAUUAUUUGAUGGGAACUGUCCAUGUGAAAUAGAAUUGUGAGAUAAACUUGCCUCUCUACUACUUACCUACACCCAAAGCCUGUGGUGCUCCGGAAUAUUUUGUAACUAGGCACAAUAUCACUGUAUCUGCUGGUUAUUAUAUUUCUGAGCUGUACAAAUAAACAGUAAUUUGAUCUCAAAGCUCUCUCUGUGUAAGCCAUCUUGAAGGUGGAAUUUUUGGCUUGUGUUCUGAAUACUUGAAAUAUUUUGUGUGCAGUUCAUAUUCCCAUAAAUAUUGUAUCAACUUGGUAUUUGCUUAGUUAAAAAACAUGCUGAAUAUGCUGUAUUAGUUAUUAGCGUUCUCUGUGGUUUUACUCCUGUUAUGUUGCUGAUGCAAGACAGUUAAUAGGUUGUUUGUUUUUGCUGACAUUUUUUAUGUUAGAAAAUGGGAAUUUUGAAACCAUUUUUUUUUUUCUAUAUGAUACUUUGUGAACAAAAUAAAAUUGCAAUGAUCUAAUUGUUUGAAAUGAAAUACUAGAUUAUGUUCUUAAGGGAAUGUGAGUGGACAAUGCUUGGGUCAAAGAUAUUCUCAGUGGUUUAGAAUACUACUUUUUGGAAUGGACUGUUUUGGAAAGUAGGGGGAAAUGCUAUUCUGAAUGAAGAAGUUAAACAAGUUGUUUCAAUGAGUAAUUAUAACUGUGGCAGUAAUUAAUAGUGUAAUUGAUUUCAGCAACCUGGGGGAACAAAUUAUUUCAGAAGUUGCACUAAAAUCUCCAAAUUAUUUUAAAUAUGCAAUAGUGAAGAAGAAUGUAACUCAAAAGUGAAGAAACUGUGGCUGAAAUUACUGCAGGCUUAAGUUAACUGGCAGAAGACAUUCCUACAUCCCUAAACAAUGGGUGAAUAGGAAGCAAGAGCCAAGGAAAAUAGCAGUUUAACCCAAAGAAGGAUUCAGGAAUGGUAUGUAAUAACCAGGAUGGAAAUUGUCCGUGCACUGAGGUUGCCCAGUUUUCAGUUACUGCACUCAUGAUGAAAGCCCAAGCAGCUGCAGAGACCACCUUUCUUCCAGUCACCUGGGGAAUACAAGAUCUUGAAGAGAGAGAUGGUGCUGUGCAAAGCUGCUGAUGUGUUUCUCCACAGGAUUUUGUGCCUGCACUGGAACUCUCAUGGAAGGCUCAGUUUCCCAUGGAUGAAGAUUCAUUACCACCAUAAUGAUGUUAGUGGUUGAGUCAGGAAUUGAAGUCUCCUGAACACCUGAAUUAGUGAUAAUCAAAUAUUUUUU